GGGUCCAGUAAUUACCAUCAUUCAUGUGGAUUAACAGUAUUUAAAUGUUCACGAAAGACUGCAUGACACUUGUAAGACUUCGAUAUGAAGACCGUGGUAAUAGUAGUACUAGUUUUGGUCUGUAUGGUGUGUAUCAAAACGAGUAAGGCUAUCACAUCAGGGUUAUGUUUAUCGGUUCCUGGUCAGCCAUGCUCACGCAAAAAAGRCGUUAAAGACAGCAAAAACGAUGACAAACUCUUAAGAAAGAAGACUUUCAGAAUCGAUAGAGGUGUGUGCAGAACAGCAACUCAAAUAGCAAAAGAAUGUGCAAUGGCCUACAACAACUAUUGACGAAAUUCUAUUUUUAGACGAAAUUAAGAAUCCAUACAAGAAUGCCAGACUAAAAAUGCAAAAAAAAAGUGAAUAAAAAUUUCAUAUAUG